UACGUAGGCAGCGAGCGUUGUUCGGAAUUAUUGGGCGUAAAGCGUGUGUAGGCGGUUCUCUAAGUCUGUCGUGAAAUCUCCCGGCUUAACUGGGGGGGUGCGGCGGAAACUGGAAUGCUAGAGGGUGGGAGAGGAAAGCGGAAUUCCUGGUGUAGCGGUGAAAUGCGUAGAUAUCAGGAGGAACACCUGCGGUGUAGACAGCUUUCUGGACCACUGCUGACGCUGAGACACGAAAGCGUGGGUAGCAAACAGG
rnacentral:rRNA from 1 species